rnacentral:rRNA from 1 species
GAUGAACGCUAGCGGAGGCUUAACACAUGCAAGUCAGGGGCAGCAUAGGGUAGCAAUACUCUGAUGGCGACCGGCAAACGGGUGAGUAACGCGUAUGCAACCUACCCUGUACAGGGGGAUAACCCGGAGAAAUUCGGACUAAUAUCCCGUAAUAAUAUCCGGAGGCAUCUUUGGAUAUUUAAAGUUUCGACGGUACGGGAUGGGCAUGCGUAACAUUAGCUGGUUGGUAAGGUAACGGCUUACCAAGGCUAUGAUGUUUAGGGGUCCUGAGAGGGUGGUCCCCCACACUGGUACUGAGACACGGACCAGACUCCUACGGGAGGCAGCAGUGAGGAAUAUUGGUCAAUGGGCGCAAGCCUGAACCAGCCAUCCCGCGUGCAGGAAGACGGCCCUAUGGGUUGUAAACUGCUUUUCCAGGGAGAGAAACUUACGCACGUGUUGCGUGACUGACGGUACCCUGGGAAUAAGCAUCGGCUAACUCCGUG